GAUGAACGCUGGCGGCGUGCUUAACACAUGCAAGUCGAACGGAAAGGCUCCUGCUUGCAGGGGUACUCGAGUGGCGAACGGGGGAGUAACACGUGGGUGAUCUGCCCUGCACUUCGGGAUAAGCCUGGGAAACUGGGUCUAAUACCGGAUAGGACGAUGGUUUGGAUGCCAUUGUGGAAAGUUUUUCGGUGUGGGAUGAGCUCGCGGCCUAUCAGCUUGUUGGUGGGGUAAUGGCCUACCAAGGCGUCGACGGGUAGCCGGCCUGGGAGGGUGUACGGCCACAUUGGGACUGAGAUACGGCCCAGACUCCUACGGGAGGCAGCAGUGGGGAAUAUUGCACAAUGGGCGCAAGCCUGAUGCAGCGACGCCGCGUGGGGGAUGACGGCCUUCGGGUUGUAAACUCCUUUCGCUAGGGACGAAGCGCAAGUGACGGUACCUGGAGAAGAAGCACCGGCUAACUACGUG
rnacentral:rRNA from 1 species